rnacentral:tRNA from 1 species
GGAGGGGUGCCGGAGCGGUCGAACGGAACCGUCUUGAAAACGGUCGUCCCCGCAAGGGGACCGUGGGUUCGAAUCCCACCCCCUCCGCCA